CCCAGGUCUCCCACAUUGCAGGCAGACACUUUACCGUCUGAGCCACCAGGGAAGCCACUGAUGUUGUUAAUUUCCAGCUGACAGUACUUGAAUAAACUUGGGAUUGAGAGGAAAAGAAUCAGCAGCUGCUCCAGAUGAGAAAACAAAGACUCGGGGAAGUUAAAGAACUUUUGGAAGAUGCUCCUGCUGAGAGUUGGGACAGGACUCAGACUUGUUCGCCUCCUCAAAUCCCUACUUCAAGG